UACGUAGGGGGCGAGCGUUAUCCGGAUUUACUGGGUGUAAAGGGAGCGUAGACGGUUAUGCAAGUCAGAAGUGAAAGCCCAAAGCUCAACUUCGGGACUGCUUUUGAAACUGUGUAACUAGAGUGCAGGAGGGGUAAGCGGAAUUCCUAGUGUAGCGGUGAAAUGCGUAGAUAUUAGGAGGAACACCGGCGGCGAAGGCGGCUUACUGGACUGCAACUGACGUUGAGGCUCGAAAGCGUGGGGAGCAAACAGG
rnacentral:rRNA from 1 species